rnacentral:lncRNA from 1 species
GCACUUAAAAGUGUUUGCCCACCCCUGGUAUACACGAUCAACUUUGCAGACUAUCAAGUAAUAGAGGCUCGAGAUUUUCAAAUUAAUUGAAAAGUAUGAUGUAUGGUGUCCAGAAGUCAAUAAAAAAAACUGAAUACUUGUGCAUUUGAUGACAAAAAAGAUCUCAUAUUAGAAGACAUUCAAAUGUCCUUGUUUUUUUGCCAAGAAGUGUAUGUUAAAAUAUUUCGCCAAAGUGUUAAUUUUUUAUUAAGUUGUUUCUUUUCCUGUUAAUUCGUACCCAGCAAUAAAUUAAAUCCGACAAAUAUUAAUCAAAAAUGCGAAAACCCUCCAAAGCAUGUUCUUGAAUUUGAAUAAUAGACAUUGACUUUCGCACCUUACAAUUAAUAAUUAAUAAUUAAGAACUUAAGUUAGCACCGAUGAUAGUUUAAUAGAUGUUAUAUAAGUUUUGCUUUAGAUAUAAGAGUUAUUCAAUAACACCUAGAAAAAUUGGUGUUUUUAUGUAAUCAACCACUUCAUUUGAGUAUUUCAUCAUUUUUAAUCUUUGGUACGUUAUCACUCAUGUUGCAAUUAUAGAUAUUAUCUAAAUUAUUAUUAAGGUGUCAUAUUAUUAAGUGUAAAAUUAAGGUUGUGUCUUCAAGUAUAUGGGCAAUAUUUGUACUUUUCGACCACCUUUGUAGGGGGUGGGGUUCCGUUGAUUUUUACCAGAUAUUAUGACUGGAAUACCAUUAGCAAAUAGAGUACUAUUUUCAAUUCUCUGGUUAGCAGUGAAAAAAAAAGGAAUAAACAAGAAAUAUAAAACAGUAGACCAGCUUAACAAAAAUAUAACGGUAAGGGUCUAAAGCAAGCACCUCAACUCUUCCUAAUAUAUUUGAAUAAGGUGCUAUUAGUAAUAGAAGGAAAACGGAAUCCAGGCCGUAGAAGAAUGUCAUGGUUGCGGAAUUUGAGAGAGUGGUUUGGCUGCACCACUAAUGAACUUUUUAGGUCAACUGUAUAAACAAAGUCAGGGUAGCCUUGAUGAUUUCCAAUCUCCGAUAGGAGUGGCACAAGAAGAAGAAGAAGUAUGGAGAAGAAAGUGCUGCAAUAUGGGGAUCCCAAUCAAAGAUGAGAAAUUGUACUCGAUACAUGUUGCUGACGAUUAAGCCAUUAAAGCUGAAGACGAGAGUGGUAUAGACUAUAUGUUUGGAAAACUGGAAAAGGGGUACACCAGCUGGAGGCUUUUUCUGAAGAUAUUAAUACAUUAAAAACAAUUUAAGAACAUAUCAAAAACUGUAAAUAUAAAUUGUAGCAAUAAAAUUUACCCUGCA